rnacentral:piRNA from 1 species
GCCCUGUGAAGAGGUGUCUUCUGCCA